GAUGAACGCUAGCGGCAGGCCUAAUACAUGCAAGUCGAACGGUGUCUUCGGACAUAGUGGCGCACGGGUGCGUAACACGUAUGCAACCUACCUUACAUUGGGGGAUAGCCUUUCGAAAGGGAGAUUAAUACCGCAUAAGACAGUAGCUGGGCAUCCAGCAGCUGUUAAAGAUUUAUCGAUGUAAGCUGGGCAUGCGUCCAAUUAGCUAGUUGGUGAGGUAACGGCUCACCAAGGCAAUGAUUGGUAGGGGAACUGAGAGGUCAAUCCCCCACACUGGCACUGAGAUACGGGCCAGACUCCUACGGGAGGCAGCAGUAGGGAAUAUUGGGCAAUGGACGCAAGUCUGACCCAGCCAUGCCGCGUGCAGGAUGAAGGCGUUAUGCGUUGUAAACUGCUUUUAUACAGGAAGAAACGACUCUUGCGAGAGGCAUUGACGGUACUGUAUGAAUAAGCACCGGCUAACUCCGUGCCAGCAGCCGCGGUAACAC
rnacentral:rRNA from 1 species